rnacentral:lncRNA from 1 species
UACCAGCCCAGUGAACCCAGCUGUCUUCCCUCACCUGACUGUGGUACUUCUGGCCAUCGGCAUGUUCUUCACUGCUUGGUUCUUCGUUUACGAGGUCACCUCUACCAAGUACACUCGCGAUGUUUACAAAGAGCUCCUCAUCUCCUUGGUGGCCUCCCUCUUCAUGGGCUUUGGAGUCCUCUUCCUCCUGCUGUGGGUCGGCAUCUACGUAUGAGUGUCCAAGGGUACCCACCAGGCAGCUCACCAAGUCUCUGCUUUUGUAAAUUAAUUUUUUACCAUUGCUACAUGUCCCACCUGCUAUUUACAAUAAAGGCAGAUGUGUGAC